GUGGAGUGCAGCGAGUGUUCCAGCGAUUUCGACUCGACCUCAGCUCUAGCCAGUGUCCAGCACAUCAGGUUCCAGGAUGAGCGAUAGUUAUAUACAGGUUUGAAUUGAAGAGAUUUUGAAUGAAGAUAAGAAGAUUGAGAAAUUGAUAACUCAAUAACUUUUGUUCACGCGAAAGUUUUC